AGGCGACUGUCCAGAGUUGUAAGCUGGAGAGGUUUCAUCCGACGCGGUCCGGGCUCAAUUUCCUUGGAACAGGAGGUCAUGGAGGGUGAGAACCCCGUACAUGGCUUGGGUGCCGCAGUCCUAGUGAUGGUUCCUCUAAGAGUCGGGUUGUUUGGGAAUGCAGCUCAAAAUGGGUGGUAAAUUUCAUCUAAAGCUAAAUAUUGGCGAGAGACCGAUAGCAAACAAGUAGAGUGAUCGAAAGAUGAAAAGUACUUUGAAAAGAGAGUGAAACAGUACGUGAAAUUGUUGAAAGGGAAGCGUUUGGCAUCAGCCCAUGAUGGUCAUCGAACAUCCUGGCUUCUGCCUGGUGCACUCGAUGGCCAUUGGGCCAGCGUCGGCUCUGCCAGCUGGAGAAAGGCCUUGGACAAGUGGCUCCUUUUCGGGAGCGUUAUAGCCCAUGGCGUCAUGCAGCUUGGUGGGGCCGAGGUCCGCGGGUUUUCCUAGGACGCUGGCGUAAUGGUUCCAAGCGACCCGUCUUGAAACACGGACCAAGGAGUCUAACAUCUAUGCGAGUGUUUGGGUGUCAAGCCCGA
rnacentral:rRNA from 1 species